rnacentral:lncRNA from 1 species
UAUCGAAUAAUAUAAAAAGAAAGAUCCAAUCAGCAAGGGAGACGAACCAAAAAACAUUAAAUGCAAAACAAAGUCCAUGCCAUUGUGUCUUUUCAUGCUCGAUCGAUCCCACAUGCCGACUGAUCACAAUAAACACAUCCAAUAAUGCUAAGUGAAUUCAGAGGCAGCACUUGCAAGUGAUGAAAGGUGCAGAAACUCAUGCCUCUCUUUUCUUCACUUGUGGACAGGGACUCAUGUCAUGUCACAUAUCAAUCUAAAAUAUGCAUUCGACUACUUCUACUACGUGUGUUCAUAAUGAUUGUCACACGAAAUAGAAAUACUAUCUUCUUUUUUUAUUUAAAGGUUAAAUUAUGAUUGCGGUCUUUAUUGAAAUGUUUGAGCGAAGUUUCACUUUAAUCUUGUUUUAAUUUUUGUAAUUUUAUUAGUGUAAAUUGAAAUUGCAUUGGUUAAAGUAUAAUUUCAUUUGAAUGGCAAGUAACUUGCUUCAUAGAGUUCAACUUGCGUAUUUUCUUCCUAAAGAACAAAAUGAAUUGUCACGCAAUGUAAUAGUAUUCCUCUCAGGUUCGACUCUCGUAAAUGGUGAGUUUGACACUUAAUUAUGAUUGACUCAUUGUGCAUGAGUUCAAAUUGGAUAAUACUUGCAUCAUCCCAUAGGGAAUACACAUAUCUCUUCCCAACGUAUCGUCAUCAUAUAAAUUUUAUAAUCAGAACAUCUUCAUUAAAGGUCAUCUCUAUAGAAAACCAAUCAAAUCGAAGAUAGUUUGGUCAUCCAAAUGUAUCAAUUAAAUGGACAAUUUAUCAUAAAUGAUAACACACCAAAGACUUGUUCCAAACAUUGAGUUCCAAUUCGAAUACUGUUCUAUAAAGAUGAUCUUCAAAUGAAGCCAGGAUUUGAUCGAUUUUAAUUAUAAAAUUUAAACGAUAAGUUAUUCGCAAUAAGUGAGUGCAAUUUUUUAUUUUAAGAGACGGAAUUAGUUGCGUUUCAUAUAUAGUCUUGUAGUUGGACCAUUGGGCUUUAGUGAAUGAUCCCAAUUUCCAUAUCCCUCUUUGUUUGUAGCCCACAUGGAAGCCACAAGAAAACUUGGAAUAUAUUAAGAGGACAGCAAAAUAAUUGACACUAUAUCACUGGCAGAUCAACAUUGUUUUAGUGUUUAGAUACAAAUUAAGUAGCAUUAUUUAGGAUAAUCCUCCAACUAAAUCCCUUUUCAAAUGUCAAAAUCUUGACAAGGACAGACAGAACCACUUUCUUGGUUGUAAAGAUUCCUUUAUUUGUUUAUUUAUCUAAAUUAUUGUAUUGUUAUGGCCUACAUACAUAUAUCAUAU